rnacentral:rRNA from 1 species
UACGGAGGAUCCAAGCGUUAUCCGGAUUUAUUGGGUUUAAAGGGUGCGUAGGUGGCCUGGUAAGUCAGGGGUGAAAGACGGUAGCUUAACUAUCGCAGUGCCCUUGAUACUGAUGGGCUUGAAUGUACUUGAGGUAGGCGGAAUGUGACAAGUAGCGGUGAAAUGCAUAGAUAUGUCACAGAACACCAAUUGCGAAGGCAGCUUACUAAAGUAUGAUUGACGCUGAGGCACGAAAGCGUGGGGAUCAAACAGG